UACGGAAGGGGCAAGCGUUGUCCGGAAUCACUGGGCUUAAAGCGUGUGUAGGCGGAUUGCUAAGUACCUUGUGAAAUCCCACGGCUUAACCGUGGAACUGCUUGGUAUACUGGCUGUCUUGAGCCACUUAGGGGCAACCGGAACAAACGGUGGAGCGGUGAAAUGCGUAGAUAUCGUUUGGAACGCCAAUGGUGAAAACAGGUUGCUGGGAGUGUGCUGACGCUGAGACACGAAAGCCAGGGGAGCAAACGGG
rnacentral:rRNA from 1 species